rnacentral:rRNA from 1 species
AUUGAACGCUGGCGGCAGGCUUAACACAUGCAAGUCGAGCGGGGUGAUGGUGCUUGCACUAUCACUUAGCGGCGGACGGGUGAGUAAUGCUUAGGAAUCUGCCUAUUAGUGGGGGACAACAUCUCGAAAGGGAUGCUAAUACCGCAUACGUCCUACGGGAGAAAGCAGGGGAUCACUUGUGACCUUGCGCUAAUAGAUGAGCCUAAGUCGGAUUAGCUAGUUGGUGGGGUAAUGGCUCACCAAGGCGACGAUCCGUAACUGGUCUGAGAGGAUGAUCAGUCACACUGGAACUGAGACACGGUCCAGACUCCUACGGGAGGCAGCAGUGGGGAAUAUUGGACAAUGGGCGAAAGCCUGAUCCAGCCAUGCCGCGUGUGUGAAGAAGGUCUUCGGAUUGUAAAGCACUUUAAGUUGGGAGGAAGGGCAGUAAGCUAAUACCUUGCUGUUUUGACGUUACCGACAGAAUAAGCACCGGCUAACUCUGUGCCAGCAGCCGCCGUAA